GACGUAGGAUGCAAGCGUUGUCCGGAAUUAUUGGGCGUAAAGAGUUCGUAGGCGGUUACUUAAGUCUGGUGUUAAAGACGGGAGCUCAACUCCCGCAUGGCAUCGGAAACUGGGUGGCUAGAGUGUGGUAGAGGUCUCGGGAAUUCCAGGUGUAGCGGUGAAAUUCGUAGAUAUCGGGAGGAACACCAGUGGCGAAGGCGGCUCUCUGGGCAGAUACUGACGCUGAGACGCGAAAGCAUGGGGAGCAAACAGG
rnacentral:rRNA from 1 species